GAUGAACGCUAGCGGCGGGCUUAAUACAUGCAAGUCAAGGGGUAGCAAUACACCGGCGUACGGGUGCGUAACGCGUAUGGAACCUGCCCUUAUCUGGGGGAUAACUCGGGGAAACUCGAGCUAAUACCGCAUAAGAUAGUAGAAUGGCCUCAUUCAGCUAUUAAAGAUUUAUCGGAUAAGGAUGGCCAUGCGUAAGAUUAGAUAGUUGGUGGGGUAACGGCUCACCAAGUCUACGAUCUUUAGGGGUUCUGAGAGGAGAAUCCCCCACACUGGCACUGAGAUACGGGCCAGACUCCUACGGGAGGCAGCAGUGGGGAAUAUUGGGCAAUGGGCGGAAGCCUGACCCAGCCACGCCGCGUGCAGGAAGAAGGCCCUCUGGGCUGUAAACUGCUUUUGAUUGGGAAGAAAGCAUCUCAUGCGUGGGAUUUUGACGGUACCAAUCGAAUAAGCCACGGCUAACUACGUGCCAGCAGCCGCAGUAA
rnacentral:rRNA from 1 species